UUGCACGCUGGCGGCAGGCCUAACACAUGCAAGUCGAACGGUAACAGGAAGAAGCUUGCUUCUUUGCUGACGCGUGGCGGACGGGUGAGUAAUGUCUGGGAAACUGCCUGAUGGAGGGGGAUAACUACUGGAAACGGUAGCUAAUACCGCAUAACGUCGCAAGACCAAAAAGGGGGACCUUCGGGCCUCUUGCCAUCGGAUGUGCCCAGAUGGGAUUAGCUAGUAGGUGGGGUAACGGCUCACCUAGGCGACGAUCCCUAGCUGGUCUGAGAGGAUGACCAGCCACACUGGAACUGAGACACGGUCCAGACUCCUACGGGAGGCAGCAGUGGGGAAUAUUGCACAAUGGGCGCAAGCCUGAUGCAGCCAUGCCGCGUGUAUGAAGAAGGCCUUCGGGUUGUAAAGUACUUUCAGCGGGGAGGAAGGGAGUAAAGUUAAUACCUUUGCUCAUUGACGUUACCCGCAGAAGAAGCACCGGCUAACUCCGUG
rnacentral:rRNA from 1 species